GUAUGAGUAUUCUGCGGGAAAAGGGGGAGAGGGGCCACUUCGGUCUCCGCCCCUCCCACUUUGGGAAAAUGAGCGGGGUUGGGGGGGCGACUCGGGGAGUCAUUUUGGCUGCACCCAUAGGCUGGAGAGCCAAAUCUGGGGCGCGGGGUACAGAGGCGAAAUAAAGAAGGGGAACAGAAAAGAGGAAUGCCUGCUGGGGAAGAGUUUGGUUGUCAAUCCGGUCUGCAUCUCCCUUGGGUCUUCUGGGUCUGCCAUGCGCUGCCUGCAACCCCCAAGUCCGCCGCCAGGGGCCGCCGAAGCUCUGUCCUUGCAGCUGGCUCUAGGGUCGAACCCCAGGGUGAGGAGAGGAGGGGAAACGGGGAGGCUAGGCAUGACCUUUU
rnacentral:lncRNA from 1 species